GAUAUAUCACCAUACCUAGCUUCCAUCUUUUUGCCACGUAUUGCCGGCCCCCAUACGUACUCAACCCUAUAAAUCAAACCCUUACAUUUCAGAGUUGAAUCGUUUAAGAAAAAAUGCCAGACCAUCCACCACCACCACACGGCGGCCACGGUCACGCACCACCCCCAGGUCCGGGACACCACGAGCCUCCUCCGCCCCAUGGCCAUGCUCCUCCUCCGGGGCCUCAUGCACCUCCUCCGGGACCCCAUGCACCUCCUCCGGGACCCCAUGCACCUCCUCCGGAACCCCAUGCACCUCCUCCGGGACCCCAUGCACCUCCUCAUGAUCCACACAAGCCACAUGACUGUCACCACGGUCACCACCACCCAUGAACCGAACUAGUCAUGAGGCCACGAUCGAGAAGCUAGUCUCAGCAAGUUGUUAUCUAUUUAUCUUUGUGCCUGUAAUGUGAUCUAGCUGCGGUUGUAGUUCUGAGUUGCUGGGUUUACUGGCUUUGCUCCAUUGAUCUCAUCGUUAUGUAAUGACUAAAAUAUGAGGACUAUGUAUGUAUCCAAAAGAAGGCUGAUCAUAUAUGUAUAAUAAGAAGAGUACUGGCUUUGUGGUUUAUGUAUAAUCCGCUUGUGUAAAACUUCUUCUUUUAUCCGUCUAAAUGUGAUGUAUAAUCAGAAAAUAUGGCCAGUUUGUCAUCUUGACCAACCUGAACUUACAAACUAAUUAAUUAAGUCAAUCUCCCCAAUUUCAUCAAUCUUCAUUAGGAUUUCAUCACUAGCUCAUUCCUUCACAGAUAAUUAACCAUUUGCUCGAUUGCUCUUAACAAACUGUAAUAGCCAAGAGGCAAACGCAUCCAUCUAAAUUCUAAAAAGUUAUUAACACAGGCUAGGGGUAAAUUAUCCUUUGUUCAGACCAAUCUCACAGUUGAAGCGAUGAAUUGGCUAAAACAAAAGCCUACGGGCAGAAAAACAAAGCAUCUCUAUUCGUACGGAAGAAUGACUUCCAUAUAUAGUAAGCCUUAUAGUUAUAACACCGUAAGUGUAUAAGAAUAGGAAUUCAUAAACGCAAUAAGAAGAAGACCGUGAAAGAGAUCGAAGAUUAAAGCAGGCCUUAAUGUCUUGUAUAUUCUGUACAAAAUUUCAACAGCCAGAUUUUCUCGAUGCAUUCGUCAGCUUCUGUUUGUAACCUUUCUUCUGUCAAAUCCUCCAUGGCUUUUCACGAGCAAUAAUUCUUGCAAGGUCCCAUUAACAAGCCUCACGUACGUUGUUCUUAUCUCCUUUUCCUUAGCUCACCAAGAAUUCAACUAUUACCAAGUGCAGCAACUAGUUUCUGUGAUCGAUCUACGGAAAGUUAAAGUUAUUGCUCAAAAGAGAAAGAGAAAACGGAAGUUAAAGUUCCAUGCUGCCCUAGUUCAAGUACGCACUCAGUUAUGAUCUUGUGGUUCUUACAAUGGAUGAAUGGAUGAAGCAUUACCACACAAAUACUCAGAAGAGAAAAACAAAACAACCACAGUGCACGAUUAACAUGCUAGCUAGCUUUCAUUGUGUGCAAAUAUCCUGAGCUACCAUUCCACCAAAACAAGCUAAAUAAGUUUAUCCUUGUAUGGAUAUUAUGUGAAUCGAAAUAAUUGUAUAUUUGAUUCUUAGAUAUUAUGUGGCACCUAUUACAACGAAGCAUGUGCCAUAUUCUGAAGAUAAUGUCGACACAUCUGAAUCAUCUAGAGCCCGUACCGACACCUUUCUCCUAUAAAAUCAACUCCUACUAGCUUAAACUCUUCAACAGUUCGCCACAUCAAGAACAACUUUCUUUUUGUUUAUACAAGCUAGUAGUCUCACCAAGAAUUCGAAGAUGCAUCACGGUGAUCAUCACGGCGGACCACCACACCACGGAGGAGGUCCGGGAGGAGGUCCGGGAGGUCCAGGAGGCGGCCCUCAACAUGGUCAUGGUCAUCAAGGAGCUCCGGGAGGAGGGCAUGGAGGACCAGGAGGAGGAGGGCAUGGAGGGCAAGGAGGAGGAGGACACGGAGGACCAGGAGGAGGAGGACAUGGAGGAGGAGGAGGAGGAGGACGAGGGGGGAGGAGGAGGACAUGGAGGAGGAGGAGGAGGAGGACGAGGGAGGAGGAGGAGGAGGACAUGGAGGAGGAGGAGGACGACGGAGGGCAUGGUGGUCACUGAUCAUGGCGCUAGACUACGUAUACUACUUGUGGUGUACUAGCUGGCUGAAUAAGUCUCUCUAUGUGACUUCUGUAGUAUUGUUUGUGUGUUAUCAUUUCCUAGUUGGGUCGAUCAGAUCCUAGAUAGUGAAGCUAGCUAGGGGAGUCGAUCUUGUGUUUGGAGUCUGUUAAUUAAUGUAUGUGUAUGGAUGUGUAAUAAAACCAUACUAGCUAUGUAUUUGAUUCGAGGCUUAACAUAUAUUGCAUGCAGCUAUAUAUAUAUAUAUAUAUAUAAUAUCCUUAGAUGACUAAGAACAUAAGAAACAGAGCAGUACUAUUGAUGAUUUACAAGAUUCAAUUUGUAUAAGUGAUCUUUGGCUUGUCCUAAUUAACCAUCAAGCAAAGCGCUAAGAACGAACAUAUUAUAUAUACUGCCAGAUGAUCAAGCAACUUUGCAGAGGGAUCAUGACGAAAUGUCCAUCUAGCAGCUUAAAUGCUUAAUUAGAACAAUUUUGCAAAACAAACACAAACUUGUAUAAUACGGUACCGAAAAUAUAAGUAUAACCGUUUGAAAUGUCAAGUUUAUCAAUCUUAUGAAAUCGAAGUAUCGUAAAUCGAUAAUGAUCUUCUUCAAAACUAGAACGAGAAUGUAACGUGUCUAUAUGACACUAUAAAUGUCUACGAAAUCAUGCGUUAAGAACAUAAUAUUAUAUUCCUUCGUUUUUUACUAAAGAAUAUCAUUACCGUUAAGCUUUAAUUGACAUACGUACGAUUGUACUUUGUAGUGAUACAUCUAAUUAUAUUGGUCGUGUGGUGCCCUUAGUAUAUUAAAAGGAAAAAACUAAAGAGACCAAAAGGCCCAAAGGAAACCACAGAAAUUGUCAUAAAGGUACAAGUGCAGCCCAACUUUCNNNNNNNNNNNNNNNNNNNNNNNNNNNNNNNNNNNNNNNNNNNNNNNNNNNNNNNNNNNNNNNNNNNNNNNNNNNNNNNNNNNNNNNNNNNNNNNNNNNNNNNNNNNNNNNNNNNNNNNNNNNNNNNNNNNNNNNNNNNNNNNNNNNNNNNNNNNNNNNNNNNNNGUCCUGAUCAUCACCUUCCUUGCCUAUGCUUCCUUCCACGCCUCCAGGAAGCCCCCCAGCAUCGUCAAGAGUGUUCUUGGCCCCAAACUCCUGUCCAAUUCGAGCUCUUUCGACACCGGUUGGGCUCCCUUUAAUGGCCCUGAUGGCACUCACAGGCUUGGAGAACUUGAUCUUGCAUUUCUAUCUGCAUAUUCUAUUGGAAUGUAUUUUGCAGGGCAUGUUGGUGAUAGGAUUGAUUUGAGGUUGUUUCUUGCUUAUGGGAUGUUAGGGAGUGGAGUUUUGACUUGUCUUUUCGGGUUAGGUUAUUGGUGCAAUGUGCAUAUGUUGUGGUACUUUGUGGGUGUGCAAGUUGUGUGUGGGUUGUUUCAGUCAAUAGGGUGGCCUUCUGUUGUGGCAGUUGUGGGGAAUUGGUUUAGGGUUUAGACAGCGGCCAUCACACGCCGGCCACGGUCACGCACCACCCCCAGGUCCGGGACACCACGAGCCUCCUCCGCCCCAUGGCCAUGCUCCUCCUCCGGGGCCUCAUGCACCUCCUUCGGGACCCCAUACACCUCCUCCGGAACCCCAUGCACCUCCUCCGGGACCCCAUGCACCUCCUCAUGAUCCACACAAGCCACAUGACCCGCACCACGGUCACCACCACCCAUGAACCGAACUAGUCAUGAGGGAUCACGAAGCUAGCUAGUCUCAGCAAGUUGUUAUCUAUUUCUGCCUGUAAUGUGAUCUAGCUGCGCUUGUAGUUCUGAGUUGCUGGGUUUACUGGCUUUGCUCCAUUGAUCUCAUCGUUAUGUAAUGACUAAAAUAUGAUGACUAUGUAUGUAUCCAAAAGAAGGCUGAUCAUAUAUGUAUAAUAAGAAGAGUACUGGCUUUCUGGUUUAUGUAUAAUCCGCUUGUGUAAAACUUCUUCUCUGUUAUCGGUCUAAAUGUGAUGUAUGAUCAGAAAAUAUGGUCAGUUUGUCCUCUUGACCAACCUUAACUUACAAACUAAUUAAGUCAAUCUCCCCAAUUUCAUCAAUCUUUAUUAGGAUUUCAUCACUCAUUCCUUCACAGAUAAUUAACCACACAUCCAAGCUGCAUUUGCUCGAUUGCUCUUAACAAACUGUAAUAAUUAACCAAGAGGCAAACGCAUCCAUCUAAAGUCUAAAAAUUAAGUUAUUAACACAAGGUUAAAUUAUCCAUUGUUCAGACCAAUCUCACAGUUAGAGCGAUGAAUUGGCUAAAACAAAAACCUACGGGAG
rnacentral:lncRNA from 1 species